CUGGCAAGCUUGAGUCUCGUAGAGGGGGGUAGAAUUCCAGGUGUAGCGGUGAAAUGCGUAGAGAUCUGGAGGAAUACCGGUGGCGAAGGCGGCCCCCUGGACGAAGACUGACGCUCAGGUGCGAAAGCGUGGGGAGCAAACAGGAUUAGAUACCCUGGUAGUCCACGCCGUAAACGAUGUCGACUUGGAGGUUGUGCCCUUGAGGCGUGGCUUCCGGAGCUAACGCGUUAAGUCGACCGCCUGGGGAGUACGGCCGCAAGGUUAAAACUCAAAUGAAUUGACGGGGGCCCGCACAAGCGGUGGAGCAUGUGGUUUAAUUCGAUGCAACGCGAAGAACCUUACCUGGUCUUGACAUCCACGGAAGUUUUCAGAGAUGAGAAUGUGCCUUCGGGAACCGUGAGACAGGUGCUGCAUGGCUGUCGUCAGCUCGUGUUGUGAAAUGUUGGGUUAAGUCCCGCAACGAGCGCAACCCUUAUCCUUUGUUGCCAGCGGUCCGGCCGGGAACUCAAAGGAGACUGCCAGUGAUAAACUGGAGGAAGGUGGGGAUGACGUCAAGUCAUCAUGGCCCUUACGACCAGGGCUACACACGUGCUACAAUGGCGCAUACAAAGAGAAGCGACCUCGCGAGAGCAAGCGGACCUCAUAAAGUGCGUCGUAGUCCGGAUUGGAGUCUGCAACUCGACUCCAUGAAGUCGGAAUCGCUAGUAAUCGUGGAUCAGAAUGCCACGGUGAAUACGUUCCCGGGCCUUGUACACACCGCCCGUCACACCAUGGGAGUGGGUUGCAAAAGAAGUAGGUAGCUUAACCUUCGGGAGGGCGCUUACCACUUUGUGAUUCAUGACUGGGGUGAAGUCGUAACAAGGUAACCGUAGGGGAACCUGCGGUUGGAUCACCUCCUUACCUUAAAGAAGC
rnacentral:rRNA from 1 species